UGGGCACUCUAGGGAGACUGCCAGGGAUAACCUGGAGGAAGGCGGGGAUGACGUCAAAUCAUCAUGCCCCUUAUGAUCUGGGCUACACACGUGCUACAAUGGUGACUACAAAGGGAAGCAGCCUCGUGAGAGUGAGCAAAUCCCAAAAAGGUCAUCUCAGUUCGGAUUGUAGUCUGCAACUCGACUACAUGAAGCUGGAAUCGCUAGUAAUCGCGAAUCAGAAUGUCGCGGUGAAUACGUUCCCGGGUCUUGUACACACCGCCCGUCACACCAUGGGAGUUGGAAAUGCCCGAAGUCUGUGA
rnacentral:rRNA from 1 species